rnacentral:rRNA from 1 species
GACGAACGCUGGCGGCGUGCCUAACACAUGCAAGUCGAACGGAGAAUUAGCAAUAAUUCUUAGUGGCGAACGGGUGAGUAACGCGUAGACAACCUACCCUUUAGAUGGGGACAACACCGCGAAAGUGGUGCUGAUACCGAAUAUUGCUUGAGAAGCGCAUGCUUUUCAAACUAAAGAUGGCCUCUAUUUAUAAGCUAUCGCUAAAGAAUGGGUCUGCGUCUGAUUAGCUAGUUGGUGAGAUAAAAGCUCACCAAGGCAACGAUCAGUAGCCGGUCUGAGAGGAUGAACGGCCACACUGGGACUGAGACACGGCCCAGACUCCUACGGGAGGCAGCAGUGGGGAAUCUUCCGCAAUGGACGAAAGUCUGACGGAGCAACGCCGCGUGAGUGAUGAAGGUUUUCGGAUCGUAAAACUCUGUUGUUAAGGACGAAUGUAUAGAUUGUGAAUAAAGUACUGCAAUGACGGUACCUGACGAGGAAGCCACGACUAACUACGUGCCAGCAGCCGCCGUAA